rnacentral:rRNA from 1 species
GACGAACGUUGGCGGCGUGCUUAAUACAUGCAAGUCAACUGAAGCAGUGGUAGCAAUAUCGCUGUGGAGGUGGCGCACGGGUGAGUAACACGUAGGUAAUCUGCCUUCAGGUCUGGCAUAACUCCGGGAAACCGGGGCUAAUAGCAGAUGAUGCAGCGGCUCGACAUCGAGACAGUUGUUAAAGCUAUGGCGCCUGAAGAUGAGCCUGCGUCUGAUUAGCUAGUUGGCGGGGUAACGGCCCACCAAGGCAACGAUCAGUAGCUGGUCUGAGAGGAUGAUCAGGCACACUGGAACUGAGACACGGUCCAGAAUCCUACGGGAGGAAGCAGUAAGGAAUAUUGCGCAAUGGGAGAAAUCCUGAAGCAGCAACGCCGCGUGAGGGACGAAGGGCUUUUGCUUGUAAACCUCUGUAGUGAGAGAAAAAAAUCCCAAUCUUUGGGACAUGAUGGUAUCUCAAAAGUAAGCCCCGGCUAACUACGUG